GAUGAACGCUGGCGGCGUGCCUAAUACAUGCAAGUCGAGCGAACAGAUAAGGAGCUUGCUCCUAUGACGUUAGCGGCGGACGGGUGAGUAACACGUGGGUAACCUACCUAUAAGACUGGGAUAACUUCGGGAAACCGGAGCUAAUACCGGAUAAUAUUUCGAACCGCAUGGUUCGAUAGUGAAAGAUGGUUUUGCUAUCACUUAUAGAUGGACCCGCGCCGUAUUAGCUAGUUGGUAAGGUAACGGCUUACCAAGGCGACGAUACGUAGCCGACCUGAGAGGGUGAUCGGCCACACUGGAACUGAGACACGGUCCAGACUCCUACGGGAGGCAGCAGUAGGGAAUCUUCCGCAAUGGGCGAAAGCCUGACGGAGCAACGCCGCGUGAGUGAUGAAGGUCUUCGGAUCGUAAAACUCUGUUAUUAGGGAAGAACAUACGUGUAAGUAACUGUGCACGUCUUGACGGUACCUAAUCAGAAAGCCACGGCUAACUACGUG
rnacentral:rRNA from 1 species